ACAUCCAGCGAACUUGGCAGAGAUGCCUUGGUGCCUUCGGGAACGCUGAGACAGGUGCUGCAUGGCUGUCGUCAGCUCGUGUUGUGAAAUGUUGGGUUAAGUCCCGNAACGAGCGCAACCCUUAUCCUUUGUUGCCAGCGAUUCGGUCGGGAAACUCAAAGGAGACUGCCGGUGAUAAACCGGAGGAAGGUGGGGAUGACGUCAAGUCAUCAUGGCCCUUACGAGUAGGGCUACACACGUGCUACAAUGGCGCAUACAAAGAGAAGCGACCUCGCGAGAGCAAGCGGACCUCAUAAAGUGCGUCGUAGUCCGGAUCGGAGUCUGCAACUCGACUCCGUGAAGUCGGAAUCGCUAGUAAUCGUGGAUCAGAAUGCCACGGUGAAUACGUUCCCGGGCCUUGUACACACCGCCCGUCACACCAUGGGAGUGGGUUGCAAAAGAAGUAGGUAGCUUAACCUCCGGGAGGACGCUUACCACUUUGUGAUUCAUGACUGGGGUGAAGUCGUAACAAGGUAAGCGUAGCGAG
rnacentral:rRNA from 1 species